AACAUUUUGUAAUUGGGAAUUGUUUGAUGUUUAUGUAGUUUGUUUUUAACUAUUGUAUACUCCAUGCAUUUAGACAUGACUUCUUUUUGUAUAAAUACUUGUUAGCUGGUGACCUUAUAAUUUUGAUUCAUGUAAGUUUAAUCUCUAAUUGAAGUAUAUCUCGCAUCUCGUUUUAAGGAAAAAUGUAUUCACAAAAAUUCUGAACUCCAAGGUAAAUUCAAAGAGUGGAACCAAUGUACGGACAAAACUAAAAAAAAAAAAAACAAUUUUCCUGCCUUGGUAAACAAUUUUACAGUUAGGAGCUAGCUAAACAGCCUACUUGUAUGAUAGUUGAAUAUAGUUCUGUUACAGAACUUGAUAAUUGUCUUUAAAUCUGUAAUAAUUUGCCAACCUUCCCUCUAAAACCAAUUCGAUGACAUGCAUGCAAGCCUGCUCCCUAGAUCUAAUCAAUUUAAAAAAAACUCAUUUUGAUUUACUAUGAAUAAUGAAUCAUAAUAAUUCUAAUAUGUUUUAUCUGAAUGUUAAUCUUUUAAUUAUAACAUCAACUACAAAAAAUGUAUCCCUGUUCAUAAAUUGCAUUAUUUCAAAAGAUUUAAAAAAUACAAAUGAAGGUAAAUCAUGAUAACAAA
rnacentral:lncRNA from 1 species